rnacentral:rRNA from 1 species
UGACAGCCCCGUACACAAAAAUGCACAUACUGUGAGCUCGAUGAGUAGGGCGGGACACGUGGUAUCCUGUCUGAAUAUGGGGGGACCAUCCUCCAAGGCUAAAUACUCCUGACUGACCGAUAGUGAACCAGUACCGUGAGGGAAAGGCGAAAAGAACCCCGGCGAGGGGAGUGAAAAAGAACCUGAAACCGUGUACGUACAAGCAGUGGGAGCCUCUUUUAUGGGGUGACUGCGUACCUUUUGUAUAAUGGGUCAGCGACUUAUAUUCUGUAGCAAGGUUAACCGAAUAGGGGAGCCGAAGGGAAACCGAGUCUUAACUGGGCGUUAAGUUGCAGGGUAUAGACCCGAAACCCGGUGAUCUAGCCAUGGGCAGGUUGAAGGUUGGGUAACACUAACUGGAGGACCGAACCGACUAAUGUUGAAAAAUUAGCGGAUGACUUGUGGCUGGGGGUGAAAGGCCAAUCAAACCGGGAGAUAGCUGGUUCUCCCCGAAAGCU